ACACACACAAGCUAAGACAUAUGGUUCUAUCUUCAGAAAACAAUAUGGUGUUUAGAGCCUAGAUACGUAGGUAACCUUUCCAGAGAUGUGACAGAAGUCCUUAUACUUCAGUUGUUCAGUCAGAUUGGACCCUGUAAAAGCUGUAAAAUGAUAACAGAGCAUACAAGCAAUGACCCAUAUUGCUUUGUGGAAUUUUAUGAACACAGAGAUGCAGCUGCUGCAUUAGCUGCUAUGAAUGGGAGAAAAAUUUUGGGAAAGGAGGUCAAAGUAAACUGGGCAACCACACCAAGUAGCCAGAAAAAAGAUACUUCCAAUCACUUCCAUGUGUUUGUUGGGGAUUUGAGUCCAGAAAUUACAACAGAAGAUAUCAAAUCAGCAUUUGCCCCCUUUGGUAAAAUAUCGGAUGCCCGGGUAGUUAAAGACAUGGCAACUGGAAAAUCCAAAGGCUAUGGUUUUGUAUCUUUUUAUAACAAACUGGAUGCAGAAAAUGCGAUUGUGCAUAUGGGCGGUCAGUGGUUGGGUGGUCGUCAAAUCCGAACCAAUUGGGCCACACGUAAACCACCUGCACCUAAAAGCACACAAGAAAACAACACUAAGCAGUUGAGAUUUGAAGAUGUAGUAAACCAGUCAAGUCCAAAAAAUUGUACUGUGUACUGUGGAGGAAUUGCGUCUGGGUUAACAGAUCAGCUUAUGAGACAGACAUUCUCACCAUUUGGACAAAUUAUGGAAAUAAGAGUUUUCCCAGAAAAGGGCUAUUCAUUUGUCAGAUUUUCAACCCAUGAAAGUGCAGCCCAUGCCAUUGUUUCGGUGAACGGUACUACGAUUGAAGGACAUGUGGUUAAAUGCUAUUGGGGUAAAGAAUCUCCUGAUAUGACUAAAAACUUCCAACAGGUAAUUCGAUUUUUCAUAGCAUUCUUUAAGGUUUCCAUCUUACAUGUCACAUAAAAGCUUUGGAAACUCUGUAAAAUAAACAAUAAAAUAAAGCAUAUAGCUACUUUCAGUUGAUUGUAUUUCAAAAUUGAUUAUUUGCGGUAUUAACUGAAUCUUAAUACUUUCUUUUCACAGGUGUCACCACCCCAAUAAACUUAGACAAUGAUAAAUAACAGAGUCCUAUUCACAUAAGGGUGCUUACUUAGUUUUUCUCUUCCUUGUCUCCCACUCUUUCUUCAUAUACGGUGUUUCUUAUGUGUUCCCUAAAACAAUACUUUGCUUUUUCCUAGGUUGACUAUAGUCAGUGGGGCCAAUGGAGCCAAGUGUAUGGAAACCCACAACAGUAUGGACAGUAUAUGGCAAAUGGGUGGCAAGUACCGCCUUAUGGAGUAUACGGGCAACCAUGGAAUCAACAAGGAUUUGGAGUAGAUCAAUCACCUUCUGCUGCUUGGAUGGGUGGAUUUGGUGCUCAGCCUCCCCAAGGACAAGCUCCUCCCCCUGUAAUACCUCCUCCUAACCAAGCCGGAUAUGGUAUGGCAAGUUACCAAACACAGUGAGCCGGGACUCUAAAAAAAAAUUGUAAUUCAUGAUAGGCUUCGAUUUCCUGUGACACUCUGAAGACAUGAAAGUAGACAUCGGAAAAUGAAAAUAUUUAUUUUAAAAAUUGAAAUGUUUGGAACCUUUAGCACAGAUUUGCUUUGGUGAAGGACACAUGUCUUCUAGUUCUGCCUUUUUAAGUUUUUGUUCAUGAUGGAUAUGAACAUGAUUUUUCUUUGUGUACAAAAACUAAAAUAAAG
rnacentral:sRNA from 1 species